AUGCAGGAAACACUGAUAUCUGGGAAUACAAGCUUUGCCACUGCUGGGUUGCAGCAAGGUCAACAAUUUCCCCAACAACAAAUGUUUUCCUUCCCUAGCGCAUGCAGAAAGGCAAGGACACAUAGGCUUCCACCAGUCGCUCCAUCAACAUCAAUCAUCCGUGCUGCAAAAGCAGUUGCGACAGGAAGACCAGGCCAAAGAGACAUAAAUGUUGGCCAUUCUAGUAGGGUGCAAAGUAGAAGAUAUGAGCCAUAUAGACAGGAGCAACCUAACAACAAAUCUGAGGGAAGACGACCGUACAAUGAGAGACGGAGAGCUUCAUCAACAUUGCUCCCUCCAAGAGAUGCAUUGUUGCAUGUGCCAAGGGUGACACCACCCGCGCCCAUACACCAGGGUGAACAGCUAACACCGGAGGCAGCACAGAUCUAUACACAUCCACCUAACAUUGAAGCCUAUGUUCUACAAAGGCUAGAUAUGUGUUUUGAAACUUUCAAAGGAGCAAAGGACUUCUACAACGUCUAUGCAAAGCACGCGGGUUUUGAUGUGUCAGAAGCAAAUAGACAGCGGAACAAGACGAUAGCCAGGACUAACUGCGGGGCUAAAAUGAGGCUAAAGAGGGAAAAGGAUGGAACACUUGUCGUAAAAGAGAUUGUAUGGGAACACAACCACAGGCUACAUCUCUCCCCCCAAAUGCUUGUCUUCUUGCACUCACACAAAAACAUUGGCAAAACAAUCUUGGAGUACAUCAAGUACCUGCAGUUCAAAGGCAUUGAACACGUGCAAAUCAUGAGCAUACUGGGCGGUGAUGACCCCGGUAGCUACUUCCGCGAAAUGAAUGCCAAAGCCUUAUUAACAUCAAAGAAUUCAAGGAUGGAUGAUGUGGACGAUGUCCUAAAGACUGUCAACUUCUUUAGGGAGAUGAAAGCGAUAAACAGGGAAUUCUUCUGCGACAUACAACUUGAUGAGUCUGACAGAGUUAAGAACGUAUUCUGGGUGAACGCAAGCUGCCGAGGGGUGUAUCAAGACUUUGCUUAA
rnacentral:rRNA from 1 species